UUUUGGAACAGCCGGAAGUAAGGAUUUUCACUUAGUUUCUUUUUGGUAUCUACUUUAUUCAUUUCUCAACAAAUGCCAUAAAAUCUUGCUUACCCAUUUCAAUUUUCUUAUUUUUAUCAUCCAAGACACCUUUUUUUUUGCACAAAAUUUAGCUCUUAAAGUAGAAAUGCUUUUAGCCCGGUCAACCACAAGAAGACUUUUUGACCAUCCAUGAGAUAUCUAGACAUUUCUUUCACUCAUCCAAUGUAGCUGAAAAAUGAGUGAUACACAAAUGAAAAUCAGUGCCUUUCACAUAAUCCACAUCCUACAAAAAUGACUCAAUACUUCUGACCAUGGAUGAUAUUUCAUCAAAUUUAACCCUCUUGUAUGUUAAAUUUUUUGGGUUCUUUGGGAUGGGAAUGGCCAAUCUAUUUCUCUUACUUUUUUGGGCUAAAGAUCCAGGUGUAUCUUGUUCGUGUCCAGUUUUAUCAUGUGCUUCAGAUAUAAAAAUAUGUUGGUAUGAUUUUGGUGAUACUAGUGGAAUGUGAAGAUUACGUGUCUCUUUUGCAG
rnacentral:misc_RNA from 1 species